rnacentral:Y_RNA from 1 species
CACUUGUCCAAUGGCAGUGGAUCACCAGAACUUAUUAACAGUGCCACUCAAGCUGGUAUACAGACUCGUCACUGUUAAAUUUGACUGGCUUUUA